UCCCCUAUGCCGGGAUAGCUCAAUUGGUAGAGCAUGAGACUCUCGAUCUCUAGGUGGUGGUUCUGAGUCCCAUGUUGGGGGGAA